GCCUACUUGGUACUCAACCAUUGUCAAUCUUCAACUAGACUCCGAAAAGUGUAUGUGUGCAGACAAGUGGAGUGAGAUCAACUGAUGACGCUAAGCUAAGAUAAGUUCUAUAGUAAUUUCUAUUUUUGUUUCCUUUUUUUUUCAACUCUCCAUUUCCAACCAUACGCACUAUCAAUCUAAUUUGUCAUUACAUAUAUAAAUGAGGGAUUUUAAUCUCUAAUUUGAUCAUUUUAUUUCAUGUGAUGUUUGUUAUUUCUUUAUGAUUUUGGGGUUCUCAUGUAGAGAGUUGUACUAAAUAUAAUAUUUAUGCUGCCAAUUGGCAGCUUGACAAUAGGACGGAGUCAGUUGCUUGAAGUUAGUUGCUUUUGUUGAGUCGAUUUUUGGAUUCUAGGAUUUUGUCAAAGAUCAUUUACUCCAACUGGGUAGAUCAAGUACUACUAGGAGUACAUCCUCCUUAUUGUUCCUUUGCUAGGAGAAAAUGUAGUAUCACCCGUAAAUUGAGACAACUCUUCCUAAAAGCUGGUUAAUGUUUUAAACUUGGUCCCUAAACAUAAUGAUAAUCUCUUUGUUCUUUGUGUUAUUUAUUCUAAUUUUAUAUUUCUAUUAUGGUUUCAAUAUCUUAGUUUUCGUAGGACAUAGCAUUAGAACAAUAUUUUCUAAUUAAUAUCAGAGAUACAUUUCAUUUUAAGGGCUCAGAUCAAUCCUAAUUAAUAUCUCACGGUUGACAUCAAUUUUCUUCCCGCUCAAACACUCUCUCCCUCUCCCACCUACCCAUGUCUCCUUCCCCAUUCCCUCUUUAUCUCUCUCUCUCUCUCUAUCUCUCCCUCUCUGUUACACGUCUCCUCCUAUUCCCUCUUUGUCUCUCUCUCUCCCUCUCUGUUCUUCUUUCCUACCCUCCCUCUUGAGCUCAAUUUCUGCCUCUCCCCCCCUUCUCUCUCAGUGGCUGCCAGUCGCAACCCUCCCACUCGCAAGGUAGGGUUUCCGAUUGUGAAUUGCGACACUGUGCUUUGAUUGGGUCACCGAAGGCUAGGGUUUCCACCACCACAACCACCGUCAUCAUCAUCAACUUCCUCAAAUUCAACAUUGACGCCGCUGUCUUCUUUUUCUCUCUCUACUUCGAACCCCCAUGGGAGCUCUCUGGUACCUCUCUCCCUCUCUCUCUCUCUCUCAAUGCUUCUUUAUGCUUCAAGUAAAUCAAUGUUUGUUGGUGGAAUUGAGGUAAUGGUUUAAAUCGAUGUUUUUGUUUAUCAUCGUUUCUGUUUCUGGUUUAUUGUUGGGUGGUUGCCUAUUUUGUGGUUCAUGGUUUAUUGUUUGGUGGUUGCCUAAUUAGAACUAUGGCAGAAAUUAUUGGUUUAUUUAUUUUUAUUUUUU